rnacentral:rRNA from 1 species
UCCCUAAGCCAAAAACCCCCGCCCGAACAGGCGGGGGUUUUUGCAUUUCGGCGAUGGAAAUGUGUGUGAGAGACGAGGGGUAGCUUGGCCCGAGCUGGCCGCAGCGCGCCUCGAAACGUACCCGGCGGGCCGGGGCCCCGCCAUCCCCAAGAGGCCAAAGUCGUUCCGCAAUGGCCGCUAUCUACCUUAAUUCGCCGCCUUAUUGACUGUAUCUUCUGUCAAAAUCUUAGUCGCUUCACCCUUCCGUGCUUGCCCAUCAG